GUCGAGCGAACUGAUUAGUAAGCUUGCUUCUAUGACGUUAGCGGCGGACGGGUGAGUAACACGUGGGCAACCUGCCUGUAAGACUGGGAUAACUUCGGGAAACCGAAGCUAAUACCGGAUAGGAUCUUCUCCUUCAUGGGAGAUGAUUGAAAGAUGGUUUCGGCUAUCACUUACAGAUGGGCCCGCGGUGCAUUAGCUAGUUGGUGAGGUAACGGCUCACCAAGGCAACGAUGCAUAGCCGACCUGAGAGGGUGAUCGGCCACACUGGGACUGAGACACGGCCCAGACUCCUACGGGAGGCAGCAGUAGGGAAUCUUCCGCAAUGGACGAAAGUCUGACGGAGCAACGCCGCGUGAGUGAUGAAGGCUUUCGGGUCGUAAAACUCUGUUGUUAGGGAAGAACAAGUACAAGAGUAACUGCUUGUACCUUGACGGUACCUAACCAGAAAGCCACGGCUAACUACGUGCCAGCAGCCGCGGUAAUACGUAGGUGGCAAGCGUUAUCCGGAAUUAUUGGGCGUAAAGCGCGCGCAGGCGGUUUCUUAAGUCUGAUGUGAAAGCCCACGGCUCAACCGUGGAGGGUCAUUGGAAACUGGGGAACUUGAGUGCAGAAGAGAAAAGCGGAAUUCCACGUGUAGCGGUGAAAUGCGUAGAGAUGUGGAGGAACACCAGUGGCGAAGGCGGCUUUUUGGUCUGUAACUGACGCUGAGGCGCGAA
rnacentral:rRNA from 1 species